ensembl:lncRNA
UGUGUGUGUGUGUGUGUGUGUGUGUGAGAGAGAGUUUACUUACAGAAUGAAGACACUGGUGAGGUCACCAGAAUCCACCGCGGGGAUCUCCCUCAGGCCCGGGACAGGACCGGUAGGGUCUGUAGGGUCUGUAGGGUCAGUAGGGUCUGUAGGGUCUGUAGGGGGUCAGUAGAGUCAGUGGGGUCAGUAGGGGUCAGUAGGGUCUGUAGGGUCAGUAGGGUCAGUGGGGUCAGUAGGGUCAGUGGGGUUAGUAGGGGGUCAGUAGGGUCAGUAGGGUCAAUAGGGUCAGUGGGGUCAGUAGGGUCAGUAGGGUCAGUAGGGUUAGUAGGGGUCUGUAGGGUCAGUAGGGUCAGUAGGGUCUGUAGGGUCAGUAGGGUCUGUAGGGGACCAGAUGACCAGGAGGUCUGUAGGGAGUCUGUAGAGGGUCUUGAGGGGACCAGAUGACCAGGAGGUCUGUAGGGGGUCUGUGGAGGGUCUGUAGGGGGUCUGUAGAGGGUCUUGAAGGGACCAGAUGACCAGGAGGUCUGUAGGGGGUCUGUGGAGGGUCUUGAGGGGACCAGAUGACCAGGAGGUCUGUAGGGGACCAAAGGGUCGGGUCAGGAGCGUACAAUCCACUCUUUGUUUAGGUCUUCAGUCUUCUUCUGUGCUCUGAUUGGCUGUUUGUGGUCUGAGGACCUGAGAGAGGCCUUGAGUGGGGGGCCUUGGGGAGGAGAUGGGAGGGG